AGUCAUAUGCUUGUCUCAAAGACUAAGCCAUGCAUGUCUAAGUAUAAAUGGUAUACAGUGAAACUGCGAAUGGCUCAUUAUAUCAGUUAUAGACUAUUCAAUAAUCUCUUACUACUUGGAUAACUGCGGUAAUUCUGGAGCUAAUACAUGCGUACAAGCCCUGACUCACGGAGGGGCGCUUUUAUUAGACUAAAACCAAACGGCUUCGGCCGUUCCACUGGUGAAUCUGAAUAACUUUUUGCGGAUCGCACGGCCUUGUGCCGGCGACGUGUCCUUCCAAGGUGUGCCCUAUCAACUGUCGACUGUGGCAUAGACGCCCACAGUGGUUUUGACGGGUAACGGGGAGUUAGGGUUCGAUUCCGGAGAGGGAGCCUGAGAAACGGCUACCACAUCUAAGGAAGGCAGCAGGCGCGUAAAUUACCCAAUCCUGACUCAGGGAGGUAGUGACAAGAAAUAACGGACCGAAGCCUAUGUUUCGGGAUUGCAAUGAGUCGAAUUUAAACCCCUUUAUGAGGAUCAAU
rnacentral:rRNA from 1 species